rnacentral:rRNA from 1 species
AUUGAACGCUGGCGGCAGGCCUAACACAUGCAAGUCGAACGAGUGGCGGACGGGUGAGUAAUGUCUGGGAAACUGCCUGAUGGAGGGGGAUAACUACUGGAAACGGUAGCUAAUACCCCAUACCAUCAGAUGUGCCCAGAUGGGAUUAGCUUGUUGGUGGGGUAAAGGCUCACCUAGGCGACGAUCCCUAGCUGGUCUGAGAGGAUGACGAGCCAGACUGGAACGGAGACACGGUCCAGACUGCUACGGGAGGCAGCAGUGGGGAAUAUGGCAGACUGGGGUGAAGCCUGAUGCAGCCAUGCCGCGUGUAUGAAGAAGGCCUUCGGCUUGUAAAGUACUGUCAGCGGGGAGGCGUUACCCGCAGAAGAAGCCCCGGCUAACUCCGUGCCAGCAGCCGCGGUAAUUC